ACGGUGAGAGUGGCGCACGGGUGCGUAACGCGUGAGCAACCUACCUCUAUCAGGGGGAUAGCCUCUCGAAAGAGAGAUUAACACCGCAUAACAUAUGUGACCGGCAUCGGUUGGAUAUUAAAUAUUUAUAGGAUAGAGAUGGGCUCGCGUGACAUUAGCUAGUUGGUAGGGUAACGGCUUACCAAGGCGACGAUGUCUAGGGGCUCUGAGAGGAGAAUCCCCCACACUGGUACUGAGACACGGACCAGACUCCUACGGGAGGCAGCAGUAAGGAAUAUUGGUCAAUGGGCGGAAGCCUGAACCAGCCAUGCCGCGUGCAGGAUGACUGCCCUAUGGGUUGUAAACUGCUUUUGUCCAGGAAUAAACCUUUCUACGUGUAGGAAGCUGAAUGUACUGGAAGAAUAAGGAUCGGCUAACUCCGUGCCAGCAGCCGCGGUAAUACGGAGGAUCCGAGCGUUAUCCGGAUUUAUUGGGUUUAAAGGGUGCGUAGGCGGCCUAUUAAGUCAGGGGUGAAAUACGGUGGCUCAACCAUCGCAGUGCCUUUGAUACUGAUGGGCUUGAAUCCAUUUGAAGUGGGCGGAAUAAGACAAGUAGCGGUGAAAUGCAUAGAUAUGUCUUAGAACUCCGAUUGCGAAGGCAGCUCACUAAGCUGGUAUUGACGCUGAUGCACGAAAGCGUGGGGAUCGAACAGGAUUAGAUACCCUGGUAGUCCACGCCCUAAACGAUGAUAACUCGAUGUUGGCGAUAGACAGCCAGCGUCCAAGCGAAAGCGUUAAGUUAUCCACCUGGGGAGUACGCCCGCAAGGGUGAAACUCAAAGGAAUUGACGGGGGCCCGCACAAGCGGAGGAGCAUGUGGUUUAAUUCGAUGAUACGCGAGGAACCUUACCCGGGCUUGAAAGUUAGUGAAGAGUGCAGAGACGCACUCGUCCUUCGGGACACGAAACUAGGUGCUGCAUGGCUGUCGUCAGCUCGUGCCGUGAGGUGUUGGGUUAAGUCCCGCAACGAGCGCAACCCCUAUGUUUAGUUGCCAGCAUGUAAUGGUGGGGACUCUAAACAGACUGCCUGUGCAAACAGAGAGGAAGGUGGGGACGACGUCAAGUCAUCAUGGCCCUUACGUCCGGGGCUACACACGUGCUACAAUGGAUGGUACAGCGGGCAGCUACAUAGCAAUAUGAUGCUAAUCUCUAAAAGCCAUUCACAGUUCGGAUUGGGGUCUGCAACUCGACCCCAUGAAGUUGGAUUCGCUAGUAAUCGCGUAUCAGCAAUGACGCGGUGAAUACGUUCCCGGGCCUUGUACACACCGCCCGUCAAGCCAUGAAAGUUGGGGGUACCUAAAGCAUG
rnacentral:rRNA from 1 species